UUGGGCCUACGGGGGGCAGCAGUGAGGAAUAUUGGUCAAUGGUCGGGAGACUGAACCAGCCAAGCCGCGUGAGGGAUGAAGGUACAGAGUAUCGUAAACCUCUUUUGUCAGGGAACAAAGGCGGGGACGCGUCCCCGGAUGAGUGUACCUGAAGAAAAAGCAUCGGCUAACUCCGUGCCAGCAGCCGCGGUAAUACGUAGGUGGCGAGCGUUAUCCGGAAUGAUUGGGCGUAAAGGGUGCGUAGGCGGCC
rnacentral:rRNA from 1 species